AGUCGGCCAGGCAAUCGCUGGAUACUUCGGUAUCGGGAGGAAAGUCCGGGCUCCAUUGGGCAGGAUGCCAGCUAACGGCUGGGUGCUAUAAGUCGCAAGACCCAAGGCAACGGAAAGUGCAACAGAGAACAGACCGCCGAUGGCCUCGCAAGAGGAUCAGGUAAGGGUGAAACGGCGAGGUAAGAGCUCACCGCGUCCACGGUAACGGCGGACGGCACGGUAAACCCCAUCCGGAGCAAGACCAAAUAGGGAAGCUGAGGCGUGGCCCGCGCUGCUUCCGGGUAGGUUGCUUGAGCCUGUCGGUGACGGCAGGCCUAGAGGAAUGAUUGCCGAACCCCGCAAGGGGGGAACAGAACCCGGCUUAUCGGCCGGCUUU
rnacentral:RNase_P_RNA from 1 species